GCUAAUACAUGCAAGUCGCACGUUCACCCUUCGGGGUGCGAGUGGCGAACGGGUGAGGAACACGUGCGUACCGACCCUGCGGUGGGGAAUACCGGCUGGAAACAGCCAACAAUACGCGCAUACGCUUGGCACCAAGGAAAGCCUUCGGGUGCCGCAGGACGGGCGCGCGGCCCAUCAGGUCGUUGGCGGGGUAAGAGCCCACCAAGCCGGUGACGGGUCGCUGGUCUGCGAGGACGGCCAGCCAGACUGGGACUGCGACACGGCCCAACACCUACGGGUGGCAGCAGCAAGGAAUCUUCCCCAAUGGACGCAAGUCUGAGGGAGCAACGCCGCGUGGAGGAUGACGGCUUUCGGGGUUGUAAACUCCUUUUCGGUGGGAUGAUACGGACAGUACCAUCGGAGUAAGCCCCCGGCUAACUCUGUGCCACAGCCGCGGUAAGACAGAGGGGGCAAGCGUUGUCCGGAAAUACUGGGGCGUAAAGCGCGCGCAGACGGUGUGAGAUGUGCCUGGCGACAGUCCGGCGCUUAACGGCGGGAGGUCUGGGUAAACACUUACACUCGCACCAGAGAGAGGGUCGUGGAAUACCCGGUGGAGCGGUGAAAUGCGUAGAGAUCGGGUGGAACACCAGUGGCGAAGGCGGCGACCUGGCUCUGAGUGGACGUUGAGGCGCGACAGCGUGGGGAGCAAACGGGAUUAGAUACCCCGGUAGUCCACGCCGUAAACGGUGUGAAGCCGGUGCUGGUGGGUGAUUGCGCCUGUCGGUGCCCAAGGAUACCUGCUGACUUCACCGCCUGGGAACUACGGCCGCAAGGCUAAAACUCAAAGGAAUUGACGGGGGCCCGCACAAGCAGCGGGGCGUGUGGUUUAAUUCGACGCAACACGAAGCACCUCACCUAGGCUUGACAUGUACGUGCAUCCGCUUGAAAGGGCGGAGCCUUCGAGGGUCGUACACAGGUGCUGCAUGGCUGUCGUCAGCUCGUGUCGUGAGAUGUUGGGUUAAGUCCCGCAACGAGCGCAACCCUUGCCCGGUGUUACAUGUGUCACCGGGGACUGCCGGCACAGGGUGUCGGAGGAAGGCGGGGAUGACGUCAAGUCAGCAUGGCCCGUACGCCUAGGGCGACACACACGCUACAAUGGGGGGAGGAAUGCGCUGCCACGGGGUAACCCGGCGCAAAUCGCGAAGACCCCUCGUAGUGCAGAUUGGGGGCUGCAACUCGCCCCCAUGAAGGCGGAGUUGCUAGUAACCGCGUGUCAGCAAAGCGCGGUGAAUACGUACCCGGGCCUUGUACACACCGCCCGUCAGC
rnacentral:rRNA from 1 species